UCAUUUUAAAAGCUUGAGUUUAGUGCUGUGACGGUUGCUAGGCGACAGCACAUGCGCCGACGUAAGGGCGGGAAUAGCCAACCCGGAAGAAGUGACCUCGCCCACCGGAACCGUGUUAAACACGGCAUCAUGGCGACGGUAAAAUAAAGUAAACAAUGAGCAAAUGUUCAAGGCAGAGACGUUACAUUAACAGAGAAAUAUGGCGAGCGAAUAGAAACAGUCCCGGUUUAUCGGAAGAAACGAGUUUAAACAACCGGGACAUUUAUUUCGCUGAGUCAUCAUGGCGAACUGACGUCAGCUACAGUAAUGGCUCCAGUUUACUUCAGUUUAGCUGUUAAACAGUCUGAAAUGGUUACAAAAGCGUUGGAGGCUAAAGUCUGACCGACAUGAAGACCCCAGGGAGUCAAAUGGAGCCCAUACAUGUGGAGCACGGCUGGUUUUCAGUCUAAGAAGAAAUUAGUUUUUACGGACCAAGAUGGCGGCGGAUGUCAUGAACAAAAGUCGGCCGUCGGUCCUUCCUGCUCCUGGCGGAGCAGACGGCGCCUCCUGCAGAGGGAAACGAACGGCUCUGAGACGUGCGGCUAUGUUUAGCGCGUCUGUCAACACAAUCAUUGAUGCAUUUCACUUCAGAGAAACGUCUCCACCUGUUUCCCUCUGUUUCCGCUGACAGGGAGCCUUGAGAUGAGUUCUGCAGGUUCAGCCCGGUUCCCUCCAACCUGUUGACUCCAGGUGAGGUUCGGUCAGCCGCCAUGUUCCUCCAUAGAAACAUGGAGGAUAAAAGUCAGUGUGAUUAUUUACAUCAACAGCUGCUCUCACCUCUGUUUGAUUAUGAGAAUAAAGUCAUAACAUUAGUAGAAUAAAAACAGAAUAUUGCAACAAAA